rnacentral:lncRNA from 1 species
GCAGCUAAUAAUUAAUCUGCUGUACCAAUGGAACAGUUGGAAACAUAAUGGGAGCGUUUUGCAUCAAAACACGACCAUUCAGUAGCUCCUUGCACAUCGAUUAAGAUGUGGUUUGCUUGGACCAUUGAGAGGGCCGGGAACUUUCAAAGAUUGGAUACUUGACCCAAUUGCAUGUCCAGACGGGACAGAUUGGUACUCCCACCUGUGUAUUCAAUAUAUAUCUGUUUCAUCUUUUUCAGGUGGCCAAAGUGACAUGUCUCAGAACAUGCUCGACGAUUUCCCCUUGUACUUAGAGUUAUAGUCCAAUGAUAUUUUCACUCAUCUACUUGAAUACAUAUCUUACUUUCAUAUAUGUCCCUGGAAUAAUAAACUUAGGGCCUGUUUAGAUAAUGGACCUAAUUGCUAGCUAGCUAAAAAUUAGCUAUAGUACAUCCAAACAGGAGGUAUAAUAUAGGAGGGCUAAUUUUUUAGCCAAAUCUUUAACUAAUUGUUAGCCACAUAACUUGCCAACCUUAACUGCCUUAGCUAAGAGGCUUAAAUCAUAGAUUGGUUGACGUGACAUUAGUUUGUCAGAAUGUAGCGUAAGCAAAAUAGUCGAAUCGAUUUAAAAUUUGGUAUAGGGAAUACGGGGACCAUGCUUCAGAAUGUUCAUCCACAGCAAGAGGGGAGGGAACAAAUUUAAUGCAGCAGGUUCAGGGGCAGUGUCAGCAUUGAUCGGCAGAUGCCGGUGUCCAUUCAUAUUUGCAGAAGUAGGGCAGCGCUGAGAGACCGCCCUAUGAAUUGGCAGUUGGAUACCCAGAUGUUGCAGUUCAACGCUCAAAAUCUGUGCACCUAAUCCUCCCAAUCUCUAACCAUAGCAUGUGCAGAAUGUGUUGUAGGUUAAUGCCCGUACGUUGUUACGGGUUUUUUCAUAUGCUUUUUUACUCUAGAUUUUUUUUAUUUUUUUAUCUAUGUCAUGUAUUUAUGUAUUUUUAUGUAUAUUGUAAUAUCAGUUUCAUAAAUCUAAAACCAAAAUACUAUUCUUCUAAAUCGAUAACAUUUUUUUACAAAGACAGAACAUUGUGUGUUGAACCUAGAAUAUUGUUUCUACUUAAUAAAAGAAAAUAUUUUAUCUUUAUAAGAUAAAUUGUAACACCCUAAAAUUUGCUUGUUUUUAAGAUAGUUGAAAUUUGAUUUAUUGUGUCAAUUUUGUGAGCAUCAAAAUAUAAGAAAAAUAAUAAUAAUAAUUUUAGAGAAAUUAAAAUUUAAUAUAAGUUUAGAAUAACAUUGUUGUUGCAUAUAUGCUGGUGCAUUUUUAUUGAGAUGAU